rnacentral:tRNA from 1 species
GGUAGGGUACUCAAGUGGUCAACGAGGGCAGACUGUAAAUCUGCUAGCCAUGCUUUCCUUGGUUCGAAUCCAAGCCCUACCACCA